rnacentral:rRNA from 1 species
CGCGCAGGUGGGAUAUUAAGUCUGGUGUUAAAGUUCGGGGCUCAACCCCGUGCAGCAUUUGGAAACUAAUAUUCUUGAGUGCAGGAGAGGAAAGUGGAAUUCCUAGUGUAGCGGUGAAAUGCGUAGAUAUUAGGAGGAACACCAGUGGCGAAGGCGACUUUCUGGACUGUGUCUGACACUGAGGCGCGAAAGCUAGGGUAGUGAACAGGAUUAGAUACCCUGGUAAUCCUAGCUGUAAACGAUGGGUACUAGGUGUUGGGGGUAUCGACCCCUCCAGUGCCGGAGUUAACGCAAUAAGUACCCCGCCUGGGGAGUACGGCCGCAAGGUUGAA